GACGAACGCUGGCGGCGUGCCUAAUACAUGCAAGUCGAGCGCAGGAAACUGACGGAACUCUUCGGAGGGAAGGCAGUGGAAUGAGCGGCGGACGGGUGAGUAACACGUAAGGAACCUGCCUCAAGGAUUGGGAUAACUCCGAGAAAUCGGAGCUAAUACCGGAUAGUUCAACGGACCGCAUGGUCCGCUGAUGAAAGGCGCUCCGGCGUCACCUUGAGAUGGCCUUGCGGUGCAUUAGCUAGUCGGUGGGGUAACGGCCCACCAAGGCGACGAUGCAUAGCCGACCUGAGAGGGUGAUCGGCCACACUGGGACUGAGACACGGCCCAGACUCCUACGGGAGGCAGCAGUAGGGAAUCUUCCACAAUGGACGAAAGUCUGAUGGAGCAACGCCGCGUGAGUGAUGAAGGUUUUCGGAUCGUAAAACUCUGUUGUAAGGGAAGAACACGUACGAGAGGGAAUGCUCGUACCUUGACGGUACCUUACGGGAAAGCCACGGCUAACUACGUGCCAGCCGCCGCCGUAAAAC
rnacentral:rRNA from 1 species